rnacentral:sRNA from 1 species
GUCUGCCCACAUCAGUGCCCACCACGAAAACUGCUGCUGUGUUAUCAAGAAUUUAAAGAAACACUCCAGCCUGCUUUGCAGAAAUUUUUUCGCUCUACUUAGAAAAUCUGACCAACUUAAGAUCUAACAAGUAUAGAAGGAGGAAAAGGUCAAUGUUUGGAGUGAAUUCUGGACUAACUGGGUGGAUAUAGCCCUAUCCUGAAUCACUUUAGAAGAUUGCUAUCGACAUCAUUCCAAAAAGCUUCAUUGCAGCAUCCAAUUCCAGGUCUCUGGCGAUAAGAGCUAUUUUCUUGCCCUUGUAUG